rnacentral:misc_RNA from 1 species
GGAAGUAAAAUCGUAACAAGGUUUCCGUAGGUGAACCUGCGGAGGGAUCAUUACAAGUGACCCCGGUCUUACCACCGGGAUGUUCAUAACCCUUUGUUGUCCGACUCUGUUGCCUCCGGGGCGACCCUGCCUUCGGGCGGGGGCUCCGGGUGGACACUUCAAACUCUUGCGUAACUUUGCAGUCUGAGUAAACUUAAUUAAUAAAUUAAAACUUUUAACAACGGAUCUCUUGGUUCUG